rnacentral:rRNA from 1 species
UACAGAGGGGGCAAGCGUUAAUCGGAUUUACUGGGCGUAAAGGGCGCGUAGGCGGUGAUGUGAGUGUGAUGUGAAAGCCCCGGGCUUAACCUGGGAAGUGCAUCGCAAACGACAUGACUGGAGUAGAUGAGAGGGUGGCGGAAUUUCCGGUGUAGCGGUGAAAUGCGUAGAGAUCGGAAGGAACGUCAAUGGCGAAGGCAGCCACCUGGCAUCAUACUGACGCUGAGGCGCGAAAGCGUGGGGAGCGAACAGG